GGCUGAAUGGGUUUUUCAGUGUCUGAUGAAGCAAUUCCACUUGGCUAAGGUUUCAUUCCCUAAAGUCUAGUGAUUGUCAUAAAUUGCAUAAUGCCUGGUGGCCAUAUUUUAUUUUAAUUGAUUCCAGACACCUGAAUUUGUACACCUUGAAGUUUUGUGUAUGGAAGCAUUGUAUUUCACAGCCAGCUAUCUAAAAUUUCAAAUCGAAGUUACAAAUUGGUGGGUAUGACUAUUUAUCAGAUUCUGUAUUUGGAGUUUUAAAAUAUUGUAUGACAGGCUAAAAUCAACUGCAAAGUAUGUGCCAUGUUCUAUAACAUGUUGUUUGCAAUAGGAACAUAUUAGAAAAACUUGCAUCUAAUUGUCAGAAAGGUAAAUUUUGAAUUUUUUAUGCAUUGUCGUAAUUUUGAAAUUUGGUAAAAGUUUAUGUUCAUCAUCAUCACAGCAGUAGAAACUGUAGGUGUAAACCACCUACUGGUAUACAAUUUGUUAAUGGUUUUUAGCUCAGUUGCUCAUUUGAUAAAUUAUUUUGGUUUUUUUAGUUUGGUCUGCUCAGCAUUUGUGCAAUUUCUUUUGUGUGAGGUAAGUUUUAUGAUGGAACUAAGUAUGUUUUGGCAUAAGCAACUCUUGCUUUUCUUGCAGCCAUGAACGUAAUUGUAUUACCCUUCAGUCCCUUCUACUCGUUCGCGAAUCAUUAAAUGCUUGCAUUCCCCUCUUUAAAUGCCAUGGUGCGAUAAAACUAGUUGGCGUAAUUACAAAAUAUUUCCAUUUCACCAUCCAAAUUGUAUUGAAAGCUUUAGGAUUAAAUGUAGCAGUGUUAAGAUUAUUUAAACCAGUCAGUUCCAUUUGAUCGUAUUUAUUUAUUGUAUUGUGAAUGGCAACUCUUCGUUCUACACAUCAUUUACUCGCUUGCGCAGGUCGGAAUUUAUUUAUUUAUUUCCGUUCUUUGUUUUUAAGGCUUGGCAGUGUGUCGAAGGUACUAUCACAGACUACGAAGUAAAGACCGAUGUACCCCCGAUAUCACUGUUUAGUCGAGGCCUGAUUACUUGCAGAGGACUAGUAUUGUCCUUUUUUCCCAAUAUAUUUCAUUGUAUUUGAUGUAGGUGAACUGUCAUUCAGGUUCGGUUGAUUCGUAGCUAAAGCUGGUGGUAUUCCAGUUUGCUUGUCUCCUGCGACGUCCUUGGCUAAAAUGAUUUCUCUUUUGUGUGCUAGUUUCCAGUGAGGAUAAAUUUCGCUUAUGAGGCAUAGACCUUGAUUAAAAUUUGAGCAAAGGAUUCACGGUACAGAUAAGGGUCACGUUUAAGAUCGCUAUUGUUAGCAAGAGAAUUGUUUAAUUGAAAUCUUGACUUGUAGGCAAGGAACUUAAUUACUACCCUUGGGGGUUCCUGCUCUUUUUUUACUCUUUGGAUGUAAAAGUUUUUGUUUUCCCUUACUGUUUCACAGGAAUCCCAGGAGUACUGGGCCAGUACUCAGACUCAGACAUUUACAGGAAUCCCAGUACUCAGAAAAUCGCCAGGAUGUACAUCCAUCGUAGAAAAGUGCAAUCGAAUGCUGUUUAUCGGUUCGAAAUAGUGGCAUUAGUCGUUAAAUCUAAUUUAAUAGAACUUGAAUUGAAACUUGACUUGAUUUCAAGAAACCCAAUUCAGCCAAUCAAAAGUGUGUGGUAGUCACACUUAACAAUGGCAAAGAGAUGCGUGCAUACAUUAAUGUCACAAUUUUCAAUUAUAUAAUUUUACUGUUUUCAAUUGAAUUAACACCAUGUUUCAUAUUCAAGGAAGAUAAUAUUGGGUUGGUGUGCGUCAGCCAUGUCAUAGAUCUUCCUGGUUUCAAACUCAAGUGAAAAAAUGAGGAUACUCAAGUUUUAUUCGGGAAAAUGGGGGAUCGACCUCAGGCAAAUUUCUAUUCGGUGCUUUCGGUGCUUCUAUGUUUAUGUGCGUCUAUGAUGAAGAUUACGAGUGACAAGUUAAAUUGGUGUUUUUUACGUUACCCUGUUUUGUGUUUCAAAGGACUUUUUGUCAACAAAUUUACGGCGGAAACUCUAGAUGGCGUUUAUGUGCGUCUAUGAUGAAGAUUACGAGUGACAAGUUAAAUUGGUGUUUUUUACGUUACCCUGUUUUGUGUUUCAAAGGACUUUUUGUCAACAAAUUUACGCUGCUGAACCAGUAGCCUGCAUUCCUGCUAUCAAUACACCACAAGGGAUCCUGACACUUUAAGAAGGCUACUAUUCCUUAAAUGAAAGUCACCAUCCAGUUCAAGUACUGUUAAUGGACCUCAAGCCUUUUGUUUAAGCUUAGUGCUGUGUUCGCUCAUCAGUCAACCACAGAGUCUUCGUCUACUUUGUGUUGCUAACCAUCAGCCCUCAGCAUCACAGGUAUCCAGAUUUCCAAGCUUCUCUGAUUAGCCAACCAUCAUCUAUACACUUCAGCUAUGCAUUGUGGCUUCUCUUCCUCUCUUCUUAGUCUGCAAAUGUGCAACAUGGAAUAAGUUUCACAAUCAUUGCAUUACCAUGAAAAUUGUCAUUGUUAAUCCUGCUGUUCUUCUCACCAUUACUUAGCCAGCUAUCAUGGAUAUGCUUUAACAACAUCUACAUUUUUGGACUGCAAAUAUUCAUCUUCCUUCGGUACAACACUGCCGUAGUUUCGCUGCCAGUGGACCACACGCAACUACAUUUUCUUCGUCUUCCUGACGUUGUUGUCUACGCCUUUACCUCAUCGCUGUCUUCGUCUACGUUUUCGCCUCAUCACUGUUUUCGUCGACAUCUUCACCUUCAUGUCCGUCUCGUCGCCUUCAUGUCCGUCUCGUCGUCGCCUUCAUCUCCGUCUCGUCGUCGUCGCCUUCAUCUCCGUCUCGUCGUCGUCGCCUUCAUCUCCGUCUCGUCGUCGUCUUGGCCGUCUUCGCCUUUGUUUCAUCAUUAUCUUGGCCGUCUUGGUCUGCCAUCACCUGGUCGCCUUCGCCCUUCACGUAAGGAUUUCACCGUGGAUCGUCGCCCUGGUAUUGUUUUAUUUUGCAUUGUUAUGUUUAAGUUAACCCGUUGGCUGCCACCCCGUUUGCGUCCCAUUUUUUUUGUAGCUUGUAGGGACCGGCCGCAAUGGCCUUCGCCGCAAGGCGCAUUAGGCA
rnacentral:lncRNA from 1 species